rnacentral:rRNA from 1 species
GAUGAACGCUGGCGGCGUGCCUAAUACAUGCAAGUCGAGCGAACAGACGAGGAGCUUGCUCCUCUGACGUUAGCGGCGGACGGGUGAGUAACACGUGGAUAACCUACCUAUAAGACUGGGAUAACUUCGGGAAACCGGAGCUAAUACCGGAUAAUAUAUUGAACCGCAUGGUUCAAUAGUGAAAGACGGUUUUGCUGUCACUUAUAGAUGGAUCCGCGCCGCAUUAGCUAGUUGGUAAGGUAACGGCUUACCAAGGCAACGAUGCGUAGCCGACCUGAGAGGGUGAUCGGCCACACUGGAACUGAGACACGGUCCAGACUCCUACGGGAGGCAGCAGUAGGGAAUCUUCCGCAAGGGGCGAAAGCCUGACGGAGCAACGCCGCGUGAGUGAUGAAGGUCUUCGGAUCGUAAAACUCUGUUAUUAGGGAAGAACAAAUGUGUAAGUAAGUAUGCACGUCUUGACGGUACCUAAUCAGAAAGCCACGGCUAACUACGUG